AGUCGUCGAGCUAACAAGCAGCCGGACAAGGUGAAAUGUUCCCGUUAACAUCCCUUGAGGCCUACACUAGGCAGCACACCAAAUGGGGCGACCGCCCUGCCGCCGGGGAGCAUUCAAUCGUCGGCGGCACACCAUCCCCCAUUCUUCCCGUUCCCCAACGUGAAGUGGCACCAUGGUCGCCACUCGCCACGCGCUCGCCGCAGGAGCAGGAGCAGCGACUGCGGGCCAGCCAGCCUCCGGUUGGGUAGCUGUUCUGCGCAACAGCCCGAGGGCGCGGAUGGAGGAGGGACCAAACAGGAGCGGAGGGGAAGGCAGGCGGUACAACUGAUGAGCGGGUGAGUGUGCUUUCUCUCUCUUAAUUAAGCAUCGUCAGUAUUAUGAGAUGAGGUUGGACUGAUCAUGGUUCCUCAUUGCAUAACUUUUUUUCCUUUUGAGUUUUGUUUAUGGAUCUACUCCGAAUCUUGCGCUUCUGUGAUAUGUUCCGAACGGAAUAUGCACGCCAAGAAGUAAGAAUGGGGGUUAUCCCAGGGGGGAUUGGUUUUAAGGACUUCGAUUGAAAACUUGGGCUGUGAAAACUGCAGAGACUGUCAAAAUAAUACGAGCAUAGUAGGCGAAAACAGCAGUAAUGAUCCCAAGUUUUUUUAGCAAAACAUAUAGUGAACAAUUGCCAUUUGUGCUCAACCAACUUAUUUCUCACAAGCAAAACUGCAGUAUGCUUUUACAUAUCUCUGAGGGAGGGGCAUCAAACGUUAUGCUUGCCAAUGAGUGUAUUGGAAGUGAGAUCCUUCCUUCCUUGAGAUUUUGACUCCUCUGUUGCUUUUAUUUUCUGUGCCGCACAUCAUGAUAUUUAGUCUUUGACUCCUUUGCUUUGCAUACUGUACAGUCUCGAGUAAACACCAUCUUUUGCCGAGAUUAAUGCUUCAUGGCUUCCCAAUUCAACCACCUGACCUUUAUCCAUCACGACAAUCACCUCUGCACUCGUGAUUGUGGACAAUCUAUGUGCAAUCGUGAUGCUUGUGAUCUUGCUUGAAAGCUCGCCAUUGUUUCUCCACUCUUUUGCUACCAGGGAGCUCAUCACCACCAUCUCAGAUUGGCCAUCUAGAGCGCUCGUCGCCUCGUCCAGUAGCAUUAUGGUGGGCCUCUUUAGUAUAGCUCUUGCAAUGGCGAUCCGCUGCUUCUGACCUCCGGAAAGCUGACUUCCUUUGUCCCCAACCACAGUGUCAUAUCCAUUUGACAGGCCACUGAUGAACUCAUGGAUGUUUGCCUCCAUUGCAGCCGCAACUAUUUCUGAUUCUGAUGCACCUUCAUUUCCGUAGCUAAUGUUCUCUCUAAUAGACAAGUUGAACAACAUUGGCUCUUGCUGCACUAGUCCUAUGUGCUUUCUCAGGUAUCUCAGAUUGUAGUCCCGGAUAUCCUUAUCGUUCACAAGCACCCGUCCUUCGCAAGGAUCAUAGAAUCUUAGCAGAAGAGCCAACACUGUGGUUUUUCCUGAACCACUUGGGCCUACCAAUGCCACCUGUUGCCCUGGUUCAAUAUCUAGAUUGAAGCCAUCUAGUAUGAUCACUUCUGGCCUUGAGGGGUAGCUGAAACUGACAUCUUGAAACACAAUGUCACCUGCUAAUCUUUCUUCAGAAUGCACUUCUGGAACAUCCGGUACAAUCUGUGUUUCUCUGUCAAGUAUGUCAAGUGCAGGGUCUAAUACUGUGAUAGCGGACAAGACUAGAGGGAUCAAGGACCAUAGCUCUGUGAUGGAAGAUAUUGUCAUUGCAAACGCUUGGUACGAUCGUACACAGUCUUUGAAUGAUGAUAGGUUCUUAUCAAGUAGCAUGAUAGUGAAACUCAAUGCGAUGGCAUGUGUCAUAUGCCACAAGCAGAGGGAAGUCCCUUGUACUAAACCAUACUUGAUGCUUUCUACUUUGCUUGUACGCAUUGGUUCUUGGAGUGAUAAGUCUGCUUUCUUUAGUAUUUCGUCUUCCUGAACAAACGAUGCCACUGUACGAAUGUUGCUGACAGCCUCUGAAGUGAGGGAAAUUAACUCCCGGUGAGAUGCAGAGAAGUCAGUGGCAAAACCUUUUGCUGACCUGACUUGUACAAGGCCAGCAAAGAAAUGGAAUGGCAUCAAAGUCCAUGCAACAAGACCCAUCCUCCAGUUCACUACUGUGCUCAACACUGUGGCUAUCAAAAUUGAAGAGAUACACUGGACAAUGAGAGACAUCCGAUCAGAUAUGAUGGUUUUAAUCAUGGAGGUGUCACCGACAAUACGUGAGGUUAGAAAGCCGACACUGUUCUUUGGUUGUUCAAACCAACCUAUUUCAUUCCGAAGAAUGACUGUGUUCAUUGAAGAGAAAUGGUGUUAUGAUUCCGAAUAAUAACAUAUCAUAUUUUUCUUUAUUAAUUGCAAUUGUGAGAUACACAAAGUUAUGGUCGUCAACAAACCUGAAAAGAGGGCCUCCCUUAGGUUAUUUGUUGCCCUUUCACCAACUAGGCCAUAUAUAUAGUGCUGGAACAUGUUACUGAAAAACGUGAGCAGUCCAAUGAGGAAUAAAAUUACUGAGUACGUGCUGACUAUACUCUUUGCAUCUGGUUUAAUGUAUGCUACGCCAACUGUCAUGAUGUAGAAAGCAAAUACAGGCCUUGAGAUCCCAGAGAUUGCUGCUGCUAUGGAGCCCAGCAGAACCUUCUCCGGGAGCAGUUUAAAAGUUCUAAGGAAUAUUCUAUAGAAAGUUGAUGUUCUCUUUCUGAUUGCUUGCUUUGGUUGCUCGGUCAGUUCUAGUGUUUUUUCUUGUUCACUAGAAGUGAAUGAUAGUUUGUUGUAAAUUCCUUCUUGUGAUUCUUCUUUUUCCUUUUCUUCUUUGACCUCAUCAACAAAUCUGUUUUACCAAUCAAAAUAAGCAAGUGAGUAGAAUGUACACCAGUUCCAUGUAAACCAAGUUAGGUAUCAUCGAUCUAGUUGCAGAAGAGCGUAUUCUCAUUGUUACAUUGUUGCAUUUUCAGCACAAUGCCAUAAUGGAUUCAAUGGGAGAACAUUUUACAAUGUGGAAAGAAGUGGACAAUUGAUUGCAUCUACCUUGUCUUGCUCUUGCCAGAAUCCUUCUCCAGAUUUUGCAUACUGCAUACGCUUGAGUAGAAUGCACUUUUCUCCAGCAAUUCUUCAUGUGUUCCAGAUUGAGCCACUGUUCCAUUCUCCACGAGAACGAUCUUGUCUGCACCUAUGAUUGUUGACAUUCUGUGGGCAAUCAAGAUAACUGUCCUUCCUUGCAUAGCUAUGUCAAGAGCUUCCUGAACUGUCUUCUCAGAUUCAGAAUCAAGUGCACUUGUCGCCUCAUCAAGAAGUAGAAUUGGUGGAUCUUUUAGAAUGGCUCUUGCAAUUGCUAUUCUUUGUUUCUGACCUCCUGAUAAUUGCAAACCUCUUUCUCCUACCUGUAUUUGUUGUAUGAAAGAAGCAACGAUUGUUAUUUUCUAUUUCUAGAAUGUAACAAAAAAUUAUGAAAAUUAAUAAAAAGCAUACACAACAUAUUGCUUCUUCACAUGAUUUCUUGGUACUGAGCUUCCCAGUUGACAACAAAAUCAGUUUUUCAACUUAAUUUCGCUGACUAUUAAAUAUAUUAAUAUUUGAUAUAGUUUCAUCCACGACUAUGGAAAAAAAAGAAAGGAGGUUCCUGAGGUGUUCAAUGGUCCUUGCUUAAAUAACAUAAAAUCUCACCUCAGUUGCAUAUUGGUUUGGAAGAUUGGAUAUAAAAGAGUGCACAUUAGCUGUUUUGGCUGCUUCAAUUAUCUCUUCAUCAGUUGCAUCAAUUUUGCCAAUUCUCAAGUUGUCCAUGAUGGUACCUGAAAAUAGCGAUGGCUCUUGGGAGACUGAACCUAUAUUUGUCCGCAGGAACUUCAGGUCGAGUGUUUUAAUGUCUUGGCCAUCAAUGAGAACCACACCUGCGAUUUAUAACAACUUACUGACAUAAACAUUUUUGCAAGACAACCAGCAGACACAAUAUUUGAUUGUUAUAUUUGAUGCAUAUAUUGCACAAUAUAAUGUUACCUGACAUAGGAUCGUAGAACCUUUGAACCAGAGAAAUCACUGUGCUCUUUCCACAUCCACUGCUCCCCACAAGAGCUAAAAUAUUGCCUGCCUGUAUAGCCAGUGAGAAACCUUGGAGAACUGGCUUAUCCUCACGCGAUGGAUAUGUGAAGUGCACCUCCCGUAUUUCUAUAUCUCCAGUGACCUUUUCCAAGAAUUUUCCCUUCGAUUCGUAGCUUAUUGCUGGAGUUCUUUUGAUGACCUUAAACACUUCUUUCCCAGCAACUUUGGCUUGGCUGAAGGCCUGCAGAUCUGGCGCUGCAUUUGAUAUAUAUCUGGAUCACAGGCAACUAUAUAGGGUCAGUAUUAUAUAUUCGAAUAUCCUAAACACAGGACAAUCAUGCAAUAUCCUACAUUGUUGAAAAGGAGAUUUCUCAGUAUUACAUUGCACCGGAGAGGACAUUAAUGACGGCUGCAAUCGUUUCACCAGGUUUUGCUUUUCCUUCAGUCACAGCAACCGCUCCAACCCAGAUUACCAGUGAAUACGAACAGAAUGUUGCGAUCUGCAACAUUCCCAAACCUAGACCUUUCACCAUCGACUCUUUCUUGCUUAACGCGUAUUGACUAUCCAUGCAAUUGCUAAAGGAUUUGAUAGCUGACUUUUCUCCAACGAAUGAGAAUACGGUCUUUAUAUGUGCAAGAUUCUGUGGACAAAUAAUAGUUCACAUACGAAUAUACGAUCACAAAUUCAGUGUUAAACCUGCUUAACUUUAACAUGGCAUUCAUUUGCACAGGUACCUGUUCUACGAUAGCGGUCGCUUCAGACACGAAAGAUGUUCUUGCGAGGGACAUGCUGAUCAUCGCCUUCGAGUAAGAUGCUCCAACCAUGAGGAGCAUAGGCACAACUAGCAGGG
rnacentral:lncRNA from 1 species